AACGAACGCUGGCGGCAGGCUUAACACAUGCAAGUCGAACGCCCCGCAAGGGGAGUGGCAGACGGGUGAGUAACGCGUGGGAAUCUACCCAGUUCUACGGAACAACUGAGGGAAACUUCAGCUAAUACCGUAUACGCCCUACGGGGGAAAGAUUUAUCGGAAUUGGAUGAGCCCGCGUAAGAUUAGCUAGUUGGUGGGGUAAAGGCCUACCAAGGCGACGAUCUUUAGCUGGUCUGAGAGGAUGAUCAGCCACACUGGGACUGAGACACGGCCCAGACUCCUACGGGAGGCAGCAGUGGGGAAUAUUGGACAAUGGGCGCAAGCCUGAUCCAGCCAUGCCGCGUGAGUGAUGAAGGCCUUAGGGUUGUAAAGCUCUUUCAGUGGGGACGAUGAUGACGGUACCCACAGAAGAAGCCCCGGCUAACUUCGUGCCAGCCGCCGCGGUAA
rnacentral:rRNA from 1 species